rnacentral:lncRNA from 1 species
AUCUACAAAGUCUAAUAUGCAAGAACUUGCUAUAAAUACUUCCAAUAUUCAACCUUAGAUAAAGUACACAUCUAUGAACUUGAAGUUAUCAAUGUCAAUUCUUACACCAAUGAGAAGUUUUAGAUAAUUCAUUUUUUUACCCAAAGCACAAUAAAACAAUUAUCAAUUAUUAAUAUUCAAUAAAAUUGAGAAGUAUAAAUUAACCAAUUUCUUAAGAGCAAUUGAGAAGUUUUAUGAUAUCAUAGUACGAAGCCAUUCAGAAAAUUAAAAAAUAUCAGCUUAUUAAAAAUAUAAUAUUGAGAGAAUGUCAAUAUCAAUUUUAACAACCAGUUUUUAACAACCGGUUGAAGUUAUCAAUAUGAAUUUAUGUUUUUUAAAAAAAUUAAAAUUGAAUAAUUAUCAACUAUGCCGUGAAAAUUUUUAAACACAAAUUUUAAAAGUUGAGAACAUAUCAAUUUGAUAAUUUAUCAAUUUGUGAGGAUUUAGCAGGUAUGAAAACUGAUAACAUAUCAUUUAACAAUUUAAUCCAAAUUCAAAAGAGAAUUGAAAUUGAAAAGUGAACAAAAAUUACUUGAAAGUUAUCAAUAUAUUGCAAGAAAUUGAGAAGUCCUCAAUAAAAUAUGUAUAUGGAAAAAUGAGAACUUUUUAAUGUUGAUUAAAUUCAACUACAUAAAGUAUUAACAGUUGAAAGAUUUCUAUAAUCAACAAAUUAAUAAAACAAUUAGUCGCCCACAACAUCAAUAAUUGUAGUAUUAUAUUUAACAACUAGAUUAUUUUUUAAUAAGUAUUUUCCAUGAAAGAGUCCAAUUGAGAAGUUAUCAUACAAUCGAUUCCAUUAAUUAACUUAAUUUGUAUAAUCCAAGAUAUUUUCGAGAUUAUUUAGGCUUUUAGACUUUGAUAAAUAAGUCCAAUGUCCAAUUAUUUGGUUAUAAAGAUUGUCUUUAAGAUAGUUGGUGGAGCAAAAAAAGAAAAGAAUUUCUAAUACAACAAAGUGCCUAGAAAGUUUGUCUUGUACAAGCCCUCAAAACUGGACGUUUUGUUGUGUAAUAUUUAUUUGAUUAUUUAAUCAAAUUUUAUAUUUUCUCAAUCUUAUUGACAAUAGAAAUUUAAAAAGAUAAAAUUUAUAUCAAAUUAUAAAACUUAUUAAACACAAAAAAUUAAUUAAUAUUAAAAAGUCAUUAUUUGUACGAACAAAGAAACUUUUUGGAGGUUUGAAGAUUAUCUUUUAAAACUUUAUAAAAAAAAAAAAAAAUUAUUUAUUUUUGUAAAAAUUGUCAAAAAAUAAAUUUGAAAACUUUUAAAUCAGACAAAUAAAAUUUUAAAAUCUAUUCUACAAAAAAUAAUUAUGAAAGCAUGUGCAAAAGAAGAACUCUGCAUGAUAACUAUUGUGUAAAUUAGGAAAUAGCAACCACAAGUAUUUGACAAGUAAGAAAAAAUAAUUAUUGGGCUUGAAGAAUUCAAAGAAUUGCAUGGGCCGGCCCUAAGGAUAUGCGUUUAGAAAUUUACAGAUUUGGGCCCCCCAAUUAUAGACCAAAAUCUUUCGCCCUCAGAUAUUAGCCCAAACUCUUUUAACUUACCCAAGGCCCUAACGGAUAGGCCCCAAGUAAUUGAUUUUUAAAAAUAUUAUUAAGAUAGGGUGUUCACAAAGUCAAGGAAGACUGUAAUAAAAAAUAUUUCAUAUAUGAUAACAAAUUAAAUCAUGUAAUUUUAAUUCGUAAUAAUUGAAUAUUGUAUAUUUAUUUAUAGAGUUAACGGAACAAACUAAUUCCAGUUAAAAAUUGCACUGAAAACCCUGUUCGUAUAAGAUUUUUUUUUCAUUUAAACUUCUUAAUCAAACCAUUCUUCAUUCAAAAAAUGAAUAGAAAUUUGGUCCCCUUAAAUAAACAUAAAAACAUAAACUCUCUAAUUAUCUUAUUUGAUGAUUCGAUUAUGGAGUUUUACAAGAUAGGGUAACACUAUAAGAAGUCGUUUUUAUGUAUUCGGUGGGGACUCAAAUGCCAAAGGUAGACGGAAAGUAACAAAUGAUUUAAAUAUUAUUAAUUAACAUUAUAAGAUUAAACUUCUUACAAUUAAAAAUUUAUGAUUUAAUAUCUCGUGAUUAUUAAACUCUGUGGGAUUUUUAUUUUUAAAUUAAGUGUAGGUAAAAUCACCACCAGUAUUAGAGUUGUCAAAAUGGGUCAGCCCGACGGCGGUCUAGCCUGAAUUUAGUUAGAGUUUUUAUGGGCUUCGGAGCAGGCUGGGCUAGCUAUAAAUAAAAAAAAUCAGACGCGCUCGGGUGAGGCCUAAUUUUGUUAGGGUCAGUCCAGCCCAAACAAUCAGACUUGUUUACUUCGGGGCUCGGACCAGGCUGGGCUUGAAUAUGGUCCAGUAUACACAAAGUUUAUUUAUUUUUCUUCAUACAGGACAUUAAAAACCACAGAAAUGUUUAGAAACAAGAGAUAGAGAUGUUUUUCUGACCAAACAUGUGGCAAGAUGUAAAAAAAAGUGGUGUUUUCAGCAC